UCAAGGUCUGCAGCCUCUGCUUUCCUUGCCUUUGACUAACAACAGCACUGUGGGACCCUCAAUUGCUGCAGGAGGAUGGGAGCCUGGACAUUGUGUGUGUGUGUGUGUGUGUUGCUCAGGAUUGAACCCAAGGCCUUGUGUAUGUGAGGCACGCACUCUACCAACUGAACUAUAUCCCCAUCCCCAGCCUGGACAUUUUCUAGAGAGUGAGUACAGACUUCAUAAGUUGCUGGAACCCCACAGGUUCUUACUGUAAACUGGGAAAAGGCCUGGAAUUGAUACUUGAAAAUAACAUCUUUGGAAAAAUCUUAGGAAAUUAGAAUUUUGUUCUUUUUGCUGAUUUGUUAAUGGGGAAACAGGAAUAUCUGCAGAGGGCUUGGUAAGCCCCAUAUUAAAUACGAAUACAUUUGCAGGCUGGGGAUGUGGUUCAGUGGUAGAGAGCUUGCCUAGCAUGUGUGAGACUCUGGGUUUGAGCCCCACCCCACAUACAAUAUAUUUAGCAAUUUGGCACUAUGUAACAAAAAUGGUUGUUAUUUAUUUAUACUGUGAUUGAACCCAGAGGCACUUUACCACUGAGUUACAUCCCCAGCCUUUUUUAUUUUUUGAGAAAGGAUCUCGCAAAAUUGCUUAUUAGUGCCUGGCUAAGCUGUUGAAGCUGGUCUUGAACUUGCAAACCUCGUGUCUCAGGAGUCGCUGUGAUUACAGACAUACACCACCAUCCCCAGCUCUGGAUCAGUAAUUUAACAAUGAUUGUUUUUUUCUCACUUGAGACAAGUACAUAUAGACACCUGCUGGCCAUAUUUCUAGUGCGCACAUAUGCUCCUCAACUUAUAAUGGGGUUACAUCCCGGUAAACCCUUGAGCAGUUGAAAAUAUCUUUAGUCCAGAGUAUAAUGGCUCAGCAACACAAAACAGACUGAUUGUCCCUGAUUUACUAACACACUACUUAAAAUUUUUCAACUUGUCCAGGCGCAGUGGUGCAUACAUGUAAUCCCACCAGUUCAGGAGGCUGAGGCAGGAGAAUCUCGAGUUCAAAGUCGGCCUCAGCAAAAGUGAGACACUAGCAACUCAGUGAGACUGUCUCUAAAUAAAAUACAAAAUAGGGGCGGGAAUGGGGAUGUGGCUCUGUGGUCUAGUGCCCCUGAGUUCAAUCCCCAGUACCAAAAAAAAUCUUCAAUUUUAUGAAGGUGUAGGCUGCCAUUUAUUUAUUUGUUUGUUUACUUGAAUAAAGCUGAAGGAGCUGAAGAUCAGUGAUCGAGUGCUUGCCUAGUAUAUACAAGGCCCUGGGUUCCCUGUCCUGUACUUCUGGGAAAUAAAAAGCUGACAGUUCUUAUGCAUGAAACCUUGGGUUCCAUCCCCAGUCAAGCAUUGCAAGGGAAAAGAUGUAAAAAAUUGACAAUGGUGGCAUAUACCUGUAAUCCCAGUGGCUGGGUGGAGGAGCGAGGAAGCUAAGGCAGGAGGAUUGCAAGUUCAAGGCCAGCCUCAGCAAUUUAGCAAGGCCCUGAGCAACUGAUACCUUGUCUCUAAAUAUAAAAAGGGCUGGGGAUAUGGCUCUGGUUCAGCACACUCAGGGUACCAAAAAAACAAAAACAAAAAAAACUGAGAAUAACUUGGCUUAAAAUAAUAUUUUAUUGUUUUUCACUUUCAGUACAAUGAUCAUUAAAUUAUAUGUGCUAUUCAGUACUUUUUUUGUUUGUUUUUUGCAGUACUGGGUGUGUGCAUAUACGCAGGAGCAUAUAUACAUUACUAGAAACUAGACCUGCAGCUACCUAUGUACACUCAUCUCAAGUGAGAGGAAAAACAAUCAUUGUUUAAAUUACUGGUCCUGCUUGCCAGCAAGUGCUCACUAAGCUAAGUCCCUGGGCUUGAAUUUGGGAUCCUCCUGCCUCAACAUCCUGAGUAGCUGAGAUUACAGGCAAGUGCCACCAUGGCUGGCAAUAAAAAAGGUUUUGUCUUGUGACCGGGAAAGAGAUGUCUCCAACAAAGUUUCCAAGGAGUCCCAAAGAGAAAGGAGAACUUGACUUGGGGACCAACAGGGUCCUUGCCUUCAGUAUCAAAAGAAUUUUAGUACUUGCCAGUCAGAGGGAUAGUUUUAUUUAGGAAAGCAGAUACAUAUUCAAGGGGGAAAAGGUAAUUUCAAGAGAAAGGUGCUUUUAAGGGUAAAGCAAGGAAUACAUAUUCAAGGGACAAUGCAGGCCAUCUCCAGAGUGAAAGAUGUGAUAUGGGGGUUCCUAGCUCCUCUUCUUAAAGGAAACUUGGUGAGAAGUAGGUUUGGAAGGUUUGUAGGAAUAGUAUCAGUUUGGUGAUUUCUUUUUAGUUUUUUUGGGUACUAGGGAUUGAAUUCAGGGGCACUCAACCACUGAGCCACAUCCCUAGCCCUAUUUUGUAUUUUAUGAGAGACAGGGUCUCAUGAGUUGCUUAGUGCCUUACUAAACUGCUGAGGAUGGCUUUGAACUCAGAUCCUCCUGCCUUCACCUCCACCUCCAGAGCCACUGGGAUUACAGGCAUGUACCACCGCCCCUGGCUAGUUCAGUGAUUUCAAGACAGGUUCUGGUCUGGUCAAUUCUCAGGAUCCUCAGGCUAACGUGGUCUUCAUUAUCUGAUCAACAAAUAGCUAGCCCUGAGCUGGGCAUGGUCACACAUGCCUGUAAUCCCAAUAACGCAGGAGGCUGAGGCAGGAGGAUCCUAAGGCAGGAGGCCACCCUCAGCUGUUUAGUGAGACCCUGUCUCAUAAUAAAAGUCAAAAAAAGGUUGGGGGUGUAGCUCAGUGGUAAAGCACCCCUGGCUGGGCUCAAUCCCCAGUACCAAAAAAAUAUGAGACUGGCUUAGGGAGUGACAUGCCUGGAAAAAUAUGUGGAACUUCAGAAUUAAAAUCUUUUUCCUGCCAGGGCAUGGUGAGGGUUAGGGUGAGGCAUGCCUGUAAUCCGGCUACUGGGGAGGCUGAGGCACACAAUACAGAUGAGUUCAUUUAUCCCUCCUGCUGCCUACAGCAGGACCUGUUCAGCUCAGUCUGUACAUUUAUUUCAUGUCAGCAUUACUCUCUCAGUCUGUCUCACCCUUUUGAAGCCAUCAGGAAACAGAUGACUAGUAUCAGGAAUCUUGGACCCAUACCAUUUAGCUUUUUUUUUAGCUGGAUUCUCACUAUUGCUCAGACUGGCCAGGAAGUCCUGGGCUCAAGCAAUCCUCCUGCCUCAGCCUCCUGAGCAGCUGGAACUAACUACAGACAAUCACUACCAUGCAUGCCCUGUUUGGCUUCAAAUCUUCAUUGUUUCACUGAGAUCAGACCAGUUGUUUUUGUAUGUUUGUUUGUUUGUACCAGGAAUGUUUAUGACUGAGCUACAUCCCCAGCCCUUUUUUAUUUUUUAUUUUGAGACAGUCUCCCUAAAUUUUGUGAGAGCCUCACAAAAUUGCUGAGGCUGGCUUUGAACUUGUGAUCCUCCUGCCUCAACCUCCUGAGACACUGGGAUUACAGGUAUGCUCCACCAUGUCCCAGACUGGCUUUCUGGGACAAGUUUGAGGUAGAACAGUUUCUUUGAGCCUGCUUUUUGUUCUUUUUCUUUUUGGUCACAGCUGUGACUCCUGCCUAGGGUUCCUACAGGGGCAUCUUCAAGUUCUCUCCAUGGUAACUGCUCCAUGUGUUCCCCAAACUGGAUUCUCUGCCAUCUCCCAAAAGGAGUCACCAUUUCAGAGCAGCUUCAGUCUGCUCUGGUGCCUUGAAUUUUCUCCCUUGCAGUUUCACUGAGUCCACACCCCACUCAUCUCAUACUGCCUCUCCAUGGCUCUAACUUCUGCCAAAGAAAGUCCUCUGGUAUGCCAGCUCUUCCUUUCACGCAUGCUUACUGAGGGCCAGUGAGGAUUUUUUUGUUGUUGUUGCUGAGAACCAUAGUAAUUUGGCAAGUCAGGGAACACAAUCUAUGUUCCAUCGUUCAUGACACAUUCUUUGUCAACUGCCUCCCUCCUGGAUUCCACCUUGGAAUCCACCUUGGAAUCCAGGCUGUGCAUUAUACAGUGUGGAUUGUUCUAGAUGAACAAUAAAGGCUGCUGCACAGAAUUUCUGGUGGUGUUUCCUUUCUAAGUCUGGCAAUGUUACACAGGACCUAAGGUGGAGAUGGCCUAUUAACAUAACCCCCAGGUUCACAGGGCCUCAGCACCCUUGACCCUCUGAGCCUUAUGGGGAGUUAAAUAGCAGCCCAGGAUGGGUGGGUUAGUUACUGGUCAAACUCAGCUGGCCCAGCCUAAAGUAAAUAAACCCUUGCACAAAGCCAGCAAUUUACACAUUCAUCU
rnacentral:lncRNA from 1 species